rnacentral:misc_RNA from 1 species
GAUGAAGAACGCAGCGAAAUGCGAUAAGUAGUGUGAAUUGCAGAAUUCAGUGAAUCAUCGAAUCUUUGAACGCACAUUGCGCCCUUUGGUAUUCCAAAGGGCAUGCCUGUUCGAGCGUCAUUUGUACCCUCAAGCUUUGCUUGGUGUUGGGCGUCUUGUCUCUAGCUUUGCUGGAGACUCGCCUUAAAGUAAUUGGCAGCCGGCCUACUGGUUUCGGAGCGCAGCACAAGUCGCACUCUCUAUCAGCAAAGGUCUAGCAUCCAUUAAGCCUUUUUUUCAACUUUUGACCUCGGAUCAGGUAGGGAUACCCGCUGAACUUAAGCAUAUCAAUAAGCG